GAUGAACGCUAGCGGCAGGCUUAACACAUGCAAGUCGAGGGGCAGCACGGGUAGCAAUACUUGGUGGCGACCGGCGCAAGGGUGCGUAACGCGUGAGCAACAUGCCCGUAUCAGGGGGAUAAUCCAGGGAAACUUGGUCUAAUACCCCAUAGCAAUUAUUUGAGGCAUCUUAAAUAAUUUAAAGCUUUGGUGGAUACGGAUUGGCUCGCGUGACAUUAGCUAGAUGGUAAGGUAACGGCUUACCAUGGCUACGAUGUCUAGGGGUUCUGAGAGGAAGAUCCCCCACACUGGAACUGAGACACGGUCCAGACUCCUACGGGAGGCAGCAGUGAGGAAUAUUGGACAAUGGAUGGAAAUCUGAUCCAGCCAUGCCGCGUGCAGGAAGACGGCCCUAUGGGUUGUAAACUGCUUUUGUAUGGGAGCAAUAAGGUCUAUGCGUAGACUGAUGAGAGUACCAUACGAAUAAGCAUCGGCUAACU
rnacentral:rRNA from 1 species